CAAACACGCUCCCACCCAACUAACUUGGGGUGGGACGCGGCAUGUGGCUCCUCGUCCCGCAAGGGGCGGUGGGCCAAAGAUCCGGCUGCCGGCCUAUCGUGCCGGACACAGCGCGUGGUAGGCGACCUCGCUUUACUAAACGCAGUGCCUCUGGCGCGUAGCCGACGCGAUGGCCCCAAUGGACCCUUUUAACGGAGUGCAUGACGCUUCGA
rnacentral:misc_RNA from 1 species